ACUAACAAGUCAGCGUUUAUAAAAAUAUGAAGUAUCUCAUCCGCCAAUGACAAAAACCCACAGGAUACGCCACUGAUGGAUAAUCUGUUCACCUUUAACAGUCUUUGUUCCAGCCUAUCUAGGUCUGCAGUAGAUGCUAGAGGAAAGACACCACACUCUUCCUCUUCAGCCAUCUGCAUUUGGGUACUCAAGACUGGAUUUUCCUGUCUCCCACAAGAAGUACCUGUAAGUAUAAAUUUACUGUAAGGUUUUAAAUGUUAGAUGUAGUGUUACAUGCAUCUGCCUUGAGG